GUGCUCGCUUCAACAGCACAUAUACUAAAAUUGGAAUGAUCCAGAGAAGAUUAACAUGGCUCCUGCACAAGGAUGACAACAAAUAUAUAUGUGUGUGUGUGUGUGUGU